ACAAGAAAACUCAACAGGAAGUGCCAGUAAAGUUUUUCCUUGGUUAACCAUUUGGUUGAGAUUUUAUGGUUUACCAUGCGUGUUAAAGAAUCAAGCUGGUUAUCUUUUAAGAUAAACUUGUAUAACGUGGUGAAAGAAGUUGAAUUAUAUACAGUUGGGAUUCGAAUAUGGCAGUUAUGUAUGUAUGGACGGCAGACAAGGACAGCUGGGGACAUGCGUCGCUGUCAUUAAAUGACAGUAGUGCAUAUAUAAGUUGGUGGCCAACAGAAGAUAAAUCUAAAAAUAGUCUUAAAAAGAAAAAGACAGAAGGACGAACGAAAGAGCAUUUACCAGUUGAUUAUGACGAUGAAAAAGAACACUUCACAGGUCGCAACUAUACACAUCGAUUCUCUAUAAGGAAUGGUGUCAUUAAUGUAGAAAAGGUACGGAAAUGGUGGCAGAAAAUUAAAGAUGAUGGAGGAUACCAUUUCCUGUUUAACAAUUGUUGCGACGCAGUUGUACAGGCUCUUCGGGAGGGAGGAAUUGAAAUAGGGAAGUCCUUAAUUAGAAAACCGGAGGAUAUGAUUGGACUUGGAAGAGACUUAGAAAAGAAAUGAUUUUACUAUCUAGCUUUACAUUUAAGACUGAUUAUCUUUCUAGUUGUAAUUUAAAUUAAUUAAGUCAUUUGUACACGUCUAUAUUAAAAAUUAUAGUACAAAGCUCA